GACGAACGCUGGCGGCAGGCUUAACACAUGCAAGUCGAGCGCCCCGCCAGGGUAUCGGCGGACGGGUGAGUACCGCGUGGGAACGUACCCUUUUGUUCGGAACAACUCCGGGAUACUGGAGCUAAUACCGGAUAAGCGCUAACGGGGAAAAAUGUAUCGCCGAAAGCUCGGCCCGCUGCUGAUUAUCUGGGUGGUGAGGUAACGGCUCACCAAGGCAACGAGGAGGAGCUGGUCUGGGAGGACGAUCCGUCAAACUGGGAAUGAGACCCGGCCUAGACUCCUACGGGAGGGAGGAGUGUGGAAUAUUGGGGGAGGGGGGCAAGUCUGAUCAAGCCAUGCCGCGUGAGUGAUGAAGGCCGUAGGGUUGUAAAGCUCUCUUGUCCGAGAAGAUAAUGACGGUACCGGAAGAAUAAGCCCCGGCUAACUUCGUG
rnacentral:rRNA from 1 species